rnacentral:rRNA from 1 species
ACACAUGCAAGUCGAGGGGCAUCAGGGUGUAGCAAUACACCGCUGGCGACCGGCGCACGGGUGAGUAACACGUAUCCAACCUGCCCUUUACUCGGGGAUAGCCUUUCGAAAGAAAGAUUAAUACCCGAUGGCAUAACAUGACCUCCUGGUUUUGUUAUUAAAGAAUUUCGGUAGAGGGUGGGGAUGCGUUCCAUUAGGCAGUUGGCGGGGUAACGGCCCACCAAACCUUCGAUGGAUAGGGGUUCUGAGAGGAAGGUCCCCCACAUUGGAACUGAGACACGGUCCAAACUCCUACGGGAGGCAGCAGUGAGGAAUAUUGGUCAAUGGGCGAGAGCCUGAACCAGCCAAGUAGCGUGAAGGAUGACCGCCCUAUGGGUUGUAAACUUCUUUUAUAUGGGAAUAAAGUCUGCCACGUGUGGCAUUUUGUAUGUACCAUAUGAAUAAGGAUCGGCUAACUCCGUGCCAGCAGCCGCGGUAAUACGGAGGAUCCGAGCGUUAUCCGGAUUUAUUGGGUUUAAAGGGAGCGUAGGUGGACAUGUAAGUCAGUUGUGAAAGUUUGCGGCUCAACCGUAAAAUUGCAGUUGAUACUGCGUGUCUUGAGUACAGUAGAGGUGGGCGGAAUUCGUGGUGUAGCGGUGAAAUGCUUAGAUAUCACGAAGAACUCCGAUUGCGAAGGCAGCUCACUGGACUGCAACUGACACUGAUGCUCGAAAGUGUGGGUAUCAAACAGGAUUAGAUACCCUGGUAGUCCACACAGUAAACGAUGAAUACUCGCUGUUUGCGAUAUACAGUAAGCGGCCAAGCGAAAGCAUUAAGUAUUCCACCUGGGGAGUACGCCGGCAACGGUGAAACUCAAAGGAAUUGACGGGG